rnacentral:rRNA from 1 species
AUGAACGCUGGCGGCGUGCCUAAUACAUGCAAGUCGAGCGAACAGACGAGGAGCUUGCUCCUCUGACGUUAGCGGCGGACGGGUGAGUAACACGUGGAUAACCUACCUAUAAGACUGGGAUAACUUCGGGAAACCGGAGCUAAUACCGGAUAAUAUAUUGAACCGCAUGGUUCAAUAGUGAAAGACGGUUUUGCUGUCACUUAUGGAUGGAUCCGCGCCGCAUUAGCUAGUUGGUAAGGUAACGGCUUACCAAGGCAACGAUGCGUAGCCGACCUGAGAGGGUGAUCGGCCACACUGGAACUGAGACACGGUCCAGACUCCUACGGGAGGCAGCAGUAGGGAAUCUUCCGCAAUGGGCGAAAGCCUGACGGAGCAACGCCGCGUGAGUGAUGAAGGUCUUCGGAUCGUAAAACUCUGUUAUCAGGGAAGAACAAAUGUGUAAGUAACUAUGCACGUCUUGACGGUACCUAAUCAGAAAGCCACGGCUAACUACGUG